CCUACGGGGGGCAGCAGUGAGGAAUAUUGGUCAAUGGGCUUACGCCUGAACCAGCCAAGUCGCGUGAGGGAAGACUGCCCUAUGGGUUGUAAACCUCUUUUGUCAGGGAGCAACGCCGGCUACGUGUAGCCGGACUGAGAGUACCUGAAGAAAAAGCAUCGGCUAACUCCGUGCCAGCAGCCGCGGUAAUACGUAGGUGGCGAGCGUUAUCCGGAAUGAUUGGGCGUAAAGGGUGCGUAGGCGGCCUGCUAAGUCUGGAGUGAAAGGUACCGGCUCAACCGGUACAGGCUCUGGAAACUGGCGGG
rnacentral:rRNA from 1 species